AGAGUUUGAUCAUGGCUCAGAACGAACGCUGGCGGCAUGCCUAACACAUGCAAGUCGAACGAGACCUUCGGGUCUAGUGGCGCACGGUGCGUAACGCGUGGGAAUCUGCCCUUAGGUUCGGAAUAACUUCGGGAAACUGAAGCUAAUACCGGAUGAUGACGUAAGUCCAAAGAUUUAUCGCCUAAGGAUGAGCCCGCGUUGGAUUAGCUAGUUGGUGAGGUAAAGGCUCACCAAGGCGACGAUCCAUAGCUGGUCUGAGAGGAUGAUCAGCCACACUGGGACUGAGACACGGCCCAGACUCCUACGGGAGGCAGCAGUGGGGAAUAUUGGACAAUGGGCGAAAGCCUGAUCCAGCAAUGCCGCGUGAGUGAUGAAGGCCUUAGGGUUGUAAAGCUCUUUUACCCGGGAUGAUAAUGACAGUACCGGGAGAAUAAGCUCCGGCUAACUCCGUG
rnacentral:rRNA from 1 species